GCUGUGGUGAAGAGGAUCGUGGAGCUCAUCGAGGAGCUUCCCGAUGACUCGUCACCCAGCGCCGUCCUCGCCCACUCCCUGGCUGCAGUGGGCAACCUCUGCACCAUGAAACCUGCCCUGGAGCCAGCCCUAGAGACCCACCUCUUGCGAGCUGCCCUUCACUCCGUCUUCACCCUGGGCAUGGAGAAGGACACCACAGGCAUCUAGGCUCUGCACAAAGUCAUCCCAGAGGUCCUGGAUGCCAUGCUGGGGAAUCUGCUGGCAGAGUCCCCAGACACAGACAAGCUCCACUUCAUCUUGGAGCAUGUCAACUUCUGGGUCAUGUCCAGGGUGUCCCAGGAACUAGUGGUGACCUAGAAUCCUAUUUUUGACCUCUCCGACUCAAGGAAUAUUUCCAACACACCUCUGAACAACAUACGAACCCACAGAGAGCUUCCUACCAAGAGUACAAAAAGAAGGA